GUUUUGUACAGUUUGGGUAACCAGGGAAAGAGCCCGAUGAAACCCGGCAACCUGUCCUUUUAAGGAUAAGGUGCCAAUUCUCUCAGAAGAUUUUUUCUUCUGAAAGAUGAGGG
rnacentral:ncRNA from 2 species